rnacentral:ncRNA from 2 species
GGUUAAGCGACUAAGCGUACACGGUGGAUGCCCUGGCAGUCAGAGGCGAUGAAGGACGUGCUAAUCUGCGAUAAGCGUCGGUAAGGUGAUAUGAACCGUUAUAACCGGCGAUUUCCGAAUGGGGAAACCCAGUGUGAUCCGUCACACUAUCAUUACGUGAAUACAUAGCGUAAU